rnacentral:piRNA from 1 species
UGGUCAGGUGCUAGAUGGAGUCUUAGC